AUAGUCAUAGAACAUUGGAACAACGGUUCUCAUUUGAUUACCGAAGUUAAACAACGUCAGGGCCGGUCACUAUUUGGGAGGGUGGCCAUUUGGGAACACCGAUUGUUCAAGACU